UUUCCCCAGGUCUAUCUGGCCAUGCACUGCUGUGUCUGUGCUGCUGAGGGGUAGCUGGAACAAAUGGAACAAGAACAAAGCUGGACAGGAUCAGUACUACAGCCUGAGAGAGGGUGAGACCAUAAUUCUGGGAAGGCCUCAUUACAGCAGCCAUAUCAACAUGGAACAUGUGGAAAAUAGGGGAAAACUGGCUAGAGGUAAUAAAGCUGAAGGACACCCAUAGCAAGGCCAAAGGAGAUUGGCAGAGGAGGAUGUCUAAUGAAAGAUGUUGACUGGCCUGCAAAUCAAAGGAUAAUAUUCCAAAAGGACAGAGAAACAAUGGAAGGUAAAGGAUCAACAAUGUUUACAGAGAAAGCACAGACAUGAUGAUGGGUGAGAUUUUACAGCCUGUGUGGUGUGGUGUGUAGAUGUAACACAGUGUCACAUACUCAACAAACCAAAGUGGAACAGGGCCUGGAGUCAUUUAAAAUGGUACCAUGUGGGCAUGUCAAGAGUGGGAACUAAACAGAGACUGAAAAGAAAGCACAGAAGUCAAGAAAGCAUCUGUUCUGGAAGAACAGAAACAUCAUUUGUGACAAUUUGGUUUCAGAGACAUAUGCUGGUUUUAUUAUUCAGCCAGUGGUAAAACAACAUUAAAGCUUCUAAUGAUUAUUUACUAAGAAAAAUAAUAUUGACUUCAUGCUCAGAUAACUCUUUUGGAUCCCAUUAUGAUGUUGCCAUGGAACCAACCCAUGAUACUGGCAAGCUCAUAUUCCAUAAGGGCAAACAUAACACUUGCAACCAGUAAAAUAAUUAUUAUAUGUACUUAGUACAUCAGGAAGUUUCCAAAGUUGAGAAAAAAUAUAAGAAAAACUGAUUUUGAUUUAAAAAAACCAAACGAGAUAUAGAAAUUACAUUUUUUUAAAGGGUAUCUUUAUUCUGGUCAACAAACCACUGCUAAUGCUACUGGCAGAUGACACAAAAACAUUGGCAAAUACUGGAGAUAAGAGUGGUAAAUUACAAAGAUGAGCUAAUCAUACAGAGCAAUCUGAAAUGUUUGUGAAACAGAAAACAAAAGAGUCCUGAAUUGAGUUAAAUUUCAUGGAUGCACUGGGAACAAGGGGUUGAGGUCCUAUCUACAGGACCAGGGCUGUAUCUGGAGGACAGUGAUUCAGAAUAGAAAUUACAGAUUGAUGCUGGUUGAUAUGAACGAAGUUCAGAGGUAGCCACUAUUUUCUGUCAAGGAAAUGAUUGCUGUAGCAUUUGGAUUAAAAUGUCCCUAAAACUGGCUUUGCUCUGUGUAAGCAAAUAAGUGGACAUGGCAACCAAAACCACAAGGAAGCCUUUUACCUACAGCCAGACCUCUGAUAGCAGGAGGACAAGAGUAGACACAAGUGUCUUCAAUGGCACAUUCCAUUUACUUCUGGGAAGUAACCAUGUUUUUCAUCUCUGAAUCUGUGUUCUGUUUUCCUCUGUAAUAAUUAAAAUGGUCUGUAAUAAAAAUAAAGAGAUCAUAAAAUAA